rnacentral:rRNA from 1 species
AGUCGAGCGAGUCUGCCUUGAAGAUCGGAGUGCUUGCACUCUGUGAAACAAGAUACAGGCUAGCGGCGGACGGGUGAGUAACACGUGGGUAACCUGCCCAAGAGAUCGGGAUAACACCUGGAAACAGAUGCUAAUACCGGAUAAUAACAGAUGAUGCCUAUCAACUGUUUAAAAGAUGGUUCUGCUAUCACUCUUGGAUGGACCUGCGGUGCAUUAGCUAGUUGGUAGGGUAACGGCCUACCAAGGCGAUGAUGCAUAGCCGAGUUGAGAGACUGAUCGGCCACAUUGGGACUGAGACACGGCCCAAACUCCUACGGGAGGCAGCAGUAGGGAAUCUUCCACAAUGGACGCAAGUCUGAUGGAGCAACGCCGCGUGAGUGAAGAAGGGUUUCGGCUCGUAAAGCUCUGUUGUUGGUGAAGAAGGACAGGGGUAGUAACUGACCUUUGUUUGACGGUAAUCAAUUAGAAAGUCACGGCUAACUACGUGCCAGCAGCCGCGGUAAUACGUAGGUGGCAAGCGUUGUCCGGAUUUAUUGGGCGUAAAGCGAGUGCAGGCGGUUCGAUAAGUCUGAUGUGAAAGCCUUCGGCUCAACCGGAGAAUUGCAUCAGAAACUGUCGAGCUUGAGUACAGAAGAGGAGAGUGGAACUCCAUGUGUAGCGGUGAAAUGCGUAGAUACAUGGAAGAACACCGGUGGCGAAGGCGGCNCUCUGGUCUGUUACUGACGCUGAGGCUCGAAAGCAUGGGUAGCG